rnacentral:rRNA from 1 species
UGAAUACGAGACGCUACGGCGUCGAAGCAGUCUAUGUCAUACUUCCAAGAAAAGCUUGCACUGUCAUAAACAAAUAAUGCCUGUACCAUAACCGACACAGGUGGGUAGGUAGAGUAUACUAAGGGGCGCGAGAUAACUCUCUCUAAGGAACUCGGCAAAAUGACUCCGUAACUUCGGGAGAAGGAGUGCCUUAUUCGUAAGGUUGCAAUAACAAGAUCCAAGCAACUGUUUAUCAAAAACACAGGUCUCCGCUAAGUCGUAAGACGAUGUAUGGGGGCUGACGCCUGCCCAGUGCCAGAAGGUUAAAGAAGUUGGUUAGCAUUCGCGAAGCUGAUAACUGAAGCCCUGGUGAACGGCGGCCGUAACAAUAACGGUCCUAAGGUAGCGAAAUUCCUUGUCGGGUAAGUUCCGACCCGCACGAAAGGCGUAAUGAUUUGGAUACUGUCUCGGAGAGAGGCUCGGUGAAAUAGACUUGUCUGUGAAGAUGCGGACUACCUGCACCUGGACAGAAAGACCCUAUGAAGCUUUACUGUAACUUGAAAUUGAAAUUGGACUUUAUUUGCGCAGUAUAGGUGGGAGGCGUUGAGAAUAUUCUUGCGGGAAUAUUGGAGCCAUCAGUGAGAUACCACUCUUGUAAUGUUAGAUUUCUAACUUUGGAUCAUUAUCUGGUCAAAGGACAGUUUCAGGCGGGCGGUUUGACUGGGGCGGUCGCCUCCCAAACGGUAACGGAGGCGUACAAAGGUUUCCUCUGAACGGGUAGAAAUCGUAUCUAGAGUGUAAAGGCAUAAGGAAGCUUGACUGUGAGACCUACAAGUCGAGCAGGGACGAAAGUCGGUCUUAGUGAUCUGACGGUGCUGAGUGGAAAGGCCGUCACUCAACGGAUAAAAGUUACUCUAAGGAUAACAGGCUGAUCUCCCCCAAGAGUUCACAUCGACGGGGAGGUUUGGCACCUCGAUGUCGGCUCAUCGCAUCCUGGGGCGGUAGUACGUCCCAAGGGUUGGGCUGUUCGCCCAUGAAAGCGGUACGCGAGCUGGGUUCAGAACGUCGUGAGACAGUUCGGUCCAUAUCCGGUGUAGGCGUUAGAAUAUUGAGAGGAGCCUUCUUUAGUACGAGAGGACCGAGAAGGACAUACCUCUGGUGUACCAGUUAUCGUGCCAACGGUAAACGCUGGGUAGCUAUGUAUGGAGAGGAUAACCGCUGAAAGCAUCUAAGUGGGAAGCCCACCUCAAGAUAAGUAUUCUC